UACGGAGGAGGCAAGCGUUAUCCGGAAUUAUUGGGCGUAAAGCGUCCGCAGGUGGCACCUCAAGUCUGCUGUCAAGACCGGGGCUUAACCCCAGAAAGGCAGUGGAAACUGAAGUGCUAGAGUGGCAGUAGGGGUAGAGGGAAUUCCCGGUGUAGCGGUGAAAUGCGUAGAGAUCGGGAAGAACAUCGGUGGCGAAAGCGCUCUGCUGGACUGCAACUGACACUCAGGGACGAAAGCUAGGGGAGCGAAUGGG
rnacentral:rRNA from 1 species